rnacentral:sRNA from 1 species
UCCUCGAUCUGCUGCGGGCAGAUGUAGUGGAUGUGGCUGUCCAUGCCGCCCGCGGUGAGAAUGCGCCCCUCGCCGGCGAUCACCUCGGUCCCCGGCCCGACGACGAUGUCGACUCCGGGCUGGGUGUCGGGGUUGCCCGCCUUGCCGAUGGCGGCGAUGCGCCCGUCCUUGAGGCCGACAUCGGCCUUGUAGAUGCCGGUAUGGUCGAGGAUCAGCGCGUUGGUGAUCAGCGUGUCGACCGCGCCCUCGGCGCGCGAGCGCUGGCUCUGGCCCAUGCCAUCGCGGA